UCCUACGGGGGGCAGCAGUCUAGAGGCUUCGGCAAUGGGGGCAACCCUGACCGAGCGACGCCGCGUGUGGGAUUGAAGGCCUUCGGGUCGUAAACCACUGUCAUUGGGAAAGAAUGCCCUGGUGGCGAACCAGGGAGAGACGGUACCCAAGAAGGAAGCCCCGGCUAACUCCGUGCCAGCAGCCGCGGUAAUACGGAGGGGGCAAGCGUUGUUCGGAUUUACUGGGCGUAAAGGGUGUGUAGGCGGCUGCGCAAGUCUGGUGUGAAAUCUUCACCGCUUAACGGGAAGAGGUCACUGGAAACUGCGUAGCUCGAGUAUGGUAGAGGCAAGCGGAAUUCCUGGUGUAGCGGUGGAAUGUGUAGAUAUCAGGAAGAACACCUGUGGCGAAGGCGGCUUGCUGGGCCAUCACUGACGCUGAGACACGAAAGCGUGGGGAGCAAACGGGAUUAGAUACCCCGGUAGUCCU
rnacentral:rRNA from 1 species